UACGUAGGGUGCAAGCGUUGUCCGGAAUUAUUGGGCGUAAAGAGCUCGUAGGCGGUUCGUUAAGUCUGUUGUGAAAGCCCCGGGCUCAACCUGGGAAUGGCAAUGGAUACUGGCGAGCUAGAGUGUGUCAGAGGAUGGUGGAAUUCCCGGUGUAGCGGUGAAAUGCGUAGAGAUCGGGAGGAACAUCAGUGGCGAAGGCGGCCAUCUGGGACAACACUGACGCUGAGGCACGAAAGCGUGGGGAGCAAACAGG
rnacentral:rRNA from 1 species